UUUCCGUAGGUGAACCUGCGGAGGGAUCAUUACAGAGUUCAUGCCCUACCGGGUAGAUCUCCCACCCUAUGUUAUUAUUACUUUGUCGCUUUGGCGGGCCGUUAGGCUCCGGCCCGACUACCGGCCCCGGCUGGUAAGCGCCCGCCAGAGGACCCAAAACCCUGAAUAUUAGUGUCGUCUGAGUACUAUAUAAUAGUUAAAACUUUCAACAACGGAUCUCUUGGUUCUG
rnacentral:misc_RNA from 1 species